CUUUCUGAAAAAAAUUUAUAAAAGCGAAGACGCGCUCUUGUUGAGUGAUUAAUUAUUAACAAUAAAUUGCGUUAAUUAAUUGUUAAUUUAUAAUCAAUCGAUUCGUUUUUUCGUCGCGAAUCUUUUGAUAUAUAAAUUAUUGCUGGAUACUGCUGAUUUCACGAGAUAACUUGAGAUUACUGAAAGACGCCAACAGACGCCGACAUAAAUGCAAUACAAAAUGGCCGCAGGUGCAAAAAAAGGAUGGCCAAUAAAUAUAUCUGAACGCUGAGUCAUUGACAAUGAAAAAUGACAGCAGAUACAGAAAAAGAUUACCAAAAACCAUUUGGAAAAUAUUUUUGGACAAGAGACAAAAGUCUUGGCACUUGAUUGAUUAAUAAAUAAUGUGAGUUCGGAAUAUUAAAAGCUGGCCAGUACUGAGCAUUAAGUUUUGUUUUAAACCAAGAUGUAAAAGAAUAUAUCCAGUAACAUGACAAACAAGACAGUCAUAUUGAAUUAAAAAUGUUAUUGUAACAAUUGGAAGACUUGACACUUGAGUGGUGUUGUGUCAACAGACAGAGAUAGAAGUUGAGUAUAAUUGUUGAGGAAGGAUCCUGCUGUUUAAUCAUCACAAUUAUUAAAAAAUCAAGUAACGAAAACUACGGUGAUGAUGCUGGUGGUGGUAAAAGGUACGUCGAUAUUACUUUUUCCUCAACAAAUCAGCUAAUUUAAUAUGAAAUCCCUCCAAUCAGUAAAUAUUGAUUAACAUACGAUUGAAAAUAUUUCAUAUUAAAUUCUGAUAUAACUGAAUCACAGUAAAAAAAAAAAUCAAUCAAAGAUUACAAAGAUUAUAAAGAUUAAUAACGAUGUUGAUGAUUAUCUCAACAAUACGUUUAAUUUAAAAAUAAAAAAAAUAGAGAAAUAAUUUUAAAUUUAAACUCUAUUGACUUGCGUUACUUACGUGCUCAUUACCACAACUGAUUUGUGAGAGCUAAAAAAAAAAAAUGUGUAACUCGAAUCAUCAUAAACUCGUUUAA